GGCCAUGUAUCGAAAGCUUUAGCAGUAGUAAUCUGCAAAAUAGUGAUUUUAUUCACAUGCGACAUGCCUGUAGUUAGAUAAACAAGAAAACAUAUCUUCACACUAGAAAAACAUAUCUUGUAACAGAUUGUGGCCUUGUGGGUGGUAGCAAACAAAAUUCCAUACGUUCGUACGUUUCUCCCUUACCUUUUACACAACUAGCUCCACCCCCCAGCCCAUACUAAAAUAACUUUACAUCUGUCUACGCAUCACCAAACUAUAUGGCUCUAUGUUACGCCGUUUUCGCCGGAAACAAAAUGCAGCUCCCUUUUCUUUUUCUCCUUUUUUCCGCGAACACGGCGAUCAUCUCUUGCACGGCGACAACACGGCCUGGCUCGAGUGCCCCCGUGGACCCCACGCGCGGCACGCCUGCACGCGAUCCUCCACCCGAAAUCCGCCGG
rnacentral:lncRNA from 1 species